CGUCGACAAGGAACGUUGAAGUUCUCCCUUGAAGAAGUUAUCGGCUGAAAUAUGGAACUGGGCUCUUCUUGAAUUUCCUGGGUCUAUCGUGGAUUGGAUUACUUUACAACUUAACUGCUUUGAGGACAUCUGCCAAUAAUAAGAUAUUCCUAUUCAGGUAAAGGCUUCGUGGGCAGAUAACAAGGAGAGAAGACUUGCCAGAAAAUUGGAUCGACUUCUUGACAAAAGUCUGUUCGUGUGACUGGCGUUGUUCAGGUGCUUUUAUAUGCUUAUUUGUUUGUUAUAAUUACUGGUGAUGUCCCUCAGCACAAAUUAAAGUAAAUAAAUGCAGCUAUUAGUUAUUGGCAGAUUUAAUCUGGAAGCUUUCUUCUGUAUCAUCUUGAGAUUGUGCAUAUUAAAAUUAAUUCUUAUACUAAAUUAGUUUUUAAAACAUCUAAGAAAUAAUUGCACUGCACAAAUUAGAGAAUAUAAGAUUGAUGCAAAAAUGUACCAUGGCCUCACAACAACCUAGGUCAUGGACGCCGAAUUAAAGUAAAUAUAUGCAGUUUAUUAGUUAUUGGUAUACUUAAUCUGGAAGCUUUCUUGUGUACCAUCCCGAAAUUGUACAUUAUUUAAAUUCUUAUACUACAUUAAUUUUUCAAGUAUCGAACAAAUAUCAAAGAAAUUUAAUUAACUUGAUAAAGCAGCUUAUUACUCAAGUGGUGAUAUUAGUUUUCUAUGGAGGAAUUCAUAUUCUGUUUGUCUAGAAAUAGCGGAUAAUAGUAAAUAAAAUUGGAGAAUGGAUAAAGGCUAUUAGGUGUCUUUUUGAAUCCAAAUCCUAAAAAAAAAGCACUUACCGUAUGCUUUUACUUUUUAUUUAUAAGCAGAUUCAAAAUUGUUUUUAUUUUGUAACUAAGCCAUUUGUAAGCAAUGGCUCAAACUGACAUAUAUUCCUCAAACUGAUAUCAAUUUCUGACCAAGUUACUAAUAUGGCUUG